rnacentral:tRNA from 1 species
GACCUCGUAGCUCAGUUGGAUAGAGCAGCGGUUUCCUAAACCGCAGGUCACAGGUUCGAUUCCUGUCGGGGUCG